rnacentral:rRNA from 1 species
AUGGGAGCGGAGCAGCGAGCUCCUCUGCGCCCCGCUCACGUCCCCGCGUCGCCACCGCCGCCCCACGCUGCCUCGCACCCAUUGCGCCGCUGUACGCUGUGCUCAAGCCCUGUUUUUCUUCUGUUCCCCUUUCCAAGUCUUCCUCUCAUCUUAUCCAUUGGAGGCCGCAGCCGUCAGGUCGCUGCUGCUGCUGGUGGCGUGAUUGCCAUCGCUGUGAGAUUGCUACUGUUCUUGGCACCGCUUCUCGUCGUGGUCACUGCCGUGUGGAGGCUGCUCCCGCUCCCCUGCUCCUUGCGUCGUCGUGGCCGCCGCCGCUGCCGGUGGAGCACGGCCUGCUGCUGGCCAUCGGCCCACCCCCGGUAUGCCAACAGCUUGACGAACAUGUCUAUAUGCAUGUAA